GCGACAGCUCAGUUGGUAGAUCAUCUGUCUUGUAAGCGGAAGGUUUCCGAUUCGACUCCGGAUAGCA
rnacentral:tRNA from 1 species